UACGGGGGGGGCAAGCGUUGUUCGGAAUUACUGGGCGUAAAGGGCUCGUAGGCGGCCAACUAAGUCAGACGUGAAAUCCCUCGGCUUAACCGGGGAACUGCGUCUGAUACUGGAUGGCUUGAGUUUGGGAGAGGGAUGUGGAAUUCCAGGUGUAGCGGUGAAAUGCGUAGAUAUCUGGAGGAACACCGGUGGCGAAGGCGGCAUCCUGGACCGGCAUUGACGCUGAGGCGCGAAAGCUAGGGGAGCAAACGGGG
rnacentral:rRNA from 1 species